UUAAUAUUUAUUUAUUUAUGUAUAUAUAUAUAUAUAUAAUUAUUAAAAAUAAUUAUAAAAUUAAUUGUUUUAGUAUUUUAUAAAUAAAAAAUAAUUUUAAUAAUAGUUUAUUAGUAUUGUGAAAGAAAAUUGAAAUAAUUUGAAAAAUUUUUAUUUGUAAAGUAAAUUUUAUUUAUUGUAUCUUGUGUAUCAGAGUUUAUUAAAUAAUUAAAUAUAUAUAUUAUUUUUCUCGAUUUUAAAAGAUUUAAUAAAUUAAAAAAUAUAAUGUAAUAAAAUUAUUUUUAAUAAUUUAUUAGAAAUGAAAUGUUAUUCGUUUUUAAAGGUAUCUAGUUUUUAAAGAAAUAAAUUCAAUUUAGUAUUUAAAAUUUAUUAAUUUAAUUUAUAUAAUUUAAUAAUUUUUAAAUAAUAAUAUUUUAUGGGAUAAGCUAUAAAAUAAAUUUUUAUAAAUAAUAAAUAAGAUGUUUAAAUUAAAUAUGUUUAGAAUUAUCAAUUUUUUUUAAGUUUGUUAUAAAUUAAUUUUGUAAUUAAAUUAUUUAUUUUAUUUUAAGUUUUUAUUUAAAUAUUUAUUUUAAUAAAAAAAAUAAAGUAAUAAUGAUAAAAUUAGUAUAUAUAUAUGUUUUUUUUUGAAAAAAUGAUAAGUUAUAAUAAAGAAUUCGGCAAAAAUAAUGUUCGCCUGUUUAACAAAAACAUGUCUUUUAGAAUUUAAUUUAAAGUCUAACCUGCCCACUGAAUUUUAAAUGGCCGCAGUAUUUUGACUGUGCAAAGGUAGCAUAAUCAUUAGUCUUUUAAUUGUAGGCUAGAAUGAAUGGUUGGACGUAAUAUUAACUGUUUCAUUAUAAAUUAAAAUAGAAUUUAAUUUUUUAGUUAAAAAGCUAAAAUAAAUUUAAAAGACGAGAAGACCCUAUAAAUCUUUAUAUAUUUAAAAAUAUUAUUUUUAAAAGGUAAUUUUUUAUAAUAUUUUUAAAUAUAUUUUAUUGGGGUGAUAGUAAAAUUUAAAAAACUUUUAAUAAUAAAAUCAUUUAUUUAUGAAUGAUUGAUCCAUUUUUAGUGAUUAAAAAAUUAAGUUACUUUAGGGAUAACAGCGUAAUUUUUUUGGAGAGUUCAUAUUGAUAAAAAAGAUUGCGACCUCGAUGUUGGAUUAAGAUAUAACUUUAGGUGCAGCAGUUUAAAGUUUAAGUCUGUUCGACUUUUUAAAUCUUACAUGAUCUGAGUUCAAACCGGUGUAAGCCAGGUUGGUUUCUAUCUUUAAAAUUUUAAUAUAUUUUAGUACGAAAGGAUUAAAUAUAUAAAUAAUAAUAUUUUAUAAUUAGAAUAUAAAUAAUUUAU
rnacentral:rRNA from 1 species